rnacentral:rRNA from 1 species
GACGUAGGAUGCAAGCGUUGUCCGGAUUUAUUGGGCGUAAAGAGUUCGUAGGUGGUUUGUUAAGUCUGAUGUAAAAGACUGGGGCUCAACCUCGGGACUGCAUUGGAUACUGGCAGACUUGAGUGUGGUAGAGGCAAUCGGAAUUCCAGGUGUAGCGGUGAAAUGCGUAGAUAUCAGGAGGAACACCGGUGGCGAAGGCGGUUCUCUGGGCAUGAUCUGACGCUGAGGAGCGAAAGUGUGGGGAGCGAACAGG